GCGUGCAGGAAGAAGGCCUUCGGGUUGUAAACUGCUUUUGUACGGAACGAAACGAUCCUUUUUAAUAAAGAGGGUUAAUGACGGUACCGUAAGAAUAAGCACCGGCUAACUACGUGCCAGCAGCCGCGGUAAUACGUAGGGUGCGAGCGUUAAUCGGAAUUACUGGGCGUAAAGCGUGCGCAGGCGGUUAUGUAAGACAGUUGUGAAAUCCCCGGGCUUAACCUGGGAAUUGCAUCUGUGACUGCAUGGCUAGAGUACGGUAGAGGGGGAUGGAAUUCCGCGUGUAGCAGUGAAAUGCGU
rnacentral:rRNA from 1 species